CCCAGUUAUCAAAUUUCUCCACAUUGAGGUCAAAAGGGUCCAAAAUUAAACUUAUUUGAGUUCAUAAAAAAUUGAAUAUAUGGGGUUCUUUGAUUUGCUGAAUCUAACCAUGUAUUUAGAUUUUGGAUAUUGGACCAUAAUAGGUAAAUGUCCAAUUUAAAAUUUGUAAGUUCUUAGGCCACAUUCAUUCUGUGUCAGAAACCUAUGCUGUGUCAAAUAUUUAAUCACAAUCCAAAUUCAGAGCUGUAUCAAGCUUGAAUGUUGUGUCCAUAUUUGCCUGAACUGUUCAGGGUUCGACCUCUGCGGUCGUAUCAAGCGGCGCCCCGCGG
rnacentral:lncRNA from 1 species